rnacentral:rRNA from 1 species
GCUACNAUGCAAGUCGAACGGUAGCACAGAGAGCUUGCUCUCGGGUGACGAGUGGCGGACGGGUGAGUAAUGUCUGGGAAACUGCCUGAUGGAGGGGGAUAACUACUGGAAACGGUAGCUAAUACCGCAUAACGUCGCAAGACCAAAGAGGGGGACCUUCGGGCCUCUUGCCAUCAGAUGUGCCCAGAUGGGAUUAGCUAGUAGGUGGGGUAACGGCUCACCUAGGCGACGAUCCCUAGCUGGUCUGAGAGGAUGACCAGCCACACUGGAACUGAGACACGGUCCAGACUCCUACGGGAGGCAGCAGUGGGGAAUAUUGCACAAUGGGCGCAAGCCUGAUGCAGCCAUGCCGCGUGUAUGAAGAAGGCCUUCGGGUUGUAAAGUACUUUCAGCGGGGAGGAAGGUGUUGUGGUUAAUAACCACAGCAAUUGACGUUACCCGCAGAAGAAGCACCGGCUAACUCCGUGCCAGCAGCCGCGGUAAUACGGAGGGUGCAAGCGUUAAUCGGAAUUACUGGGCGUAAAGCGCACGCAGGCGGUCUGUCAAGUCGGAUGUGAAAUCCCCGGGCUCAACCUGGGAACUGCAUUCGAAACUGGCAGGCUAGAGUCUUUGUAGAGGGGGGUAGAAAUCCAGGUGUAGCGGUGAAAUGC